AUGGACAAGAGGACACCUGCUAAGCUCCUCGGGCUUCUGCUGCUCUGGUUACCAGGUGCCAGGUGUGACAUCCAGAUGACCCAGUCUCCACCCUCCUUGUCUGCAUCUCUGGGAGACAGAGUCACCAUCACUUGCCGUGCCAGUCAGGGCAUUAGCAGUUAUUUAAGCUGGUUACAGCAGAAACCAGGGAAAGCUCCUAAGCACCUGAUCUAUGCUGCAUCCAACUUGGACAAUGGGGUCCCAUCGAGGUUCAGUGGCAGUGGGUCUGGGACAGAUUUCACUCUUACCAUCAGCAGCCUGGAGUCUGAAGACAUUGCAACUUAUUACUCUCUACAGUAUAAACAGUUUCCUCCCACAGUGGUACAAGCAAUAACAUAA